rnacentral:rRNA from 1 species
CAGCAGUCGCCGCGGUAAUACGAAGGGGGCUAGCGUUGUUCGGAUUUACUGGGCGUAAAGCGCACGUAGGCGGACUUUUAAGUCAGGGGUGAAAUCCCGGGGCUCAACCCCGGAACUGCCUUUGAUACUGGAAGUCUUGAGUAUGGUAGAGGUGAGUGGAAUUCCGAGUGUAGAGGUGAAAUUCGUAGAUAUUCGGAGGAACACCAGUGGCGAAGGCGGCUCACUGGACCAUUACUGACGCUGAGGUGCGAAAGCGUGGGGAGCAAACAGGAUUAGAUACCCCAGUAGUCCCUGUCUCUUAUAC